rnacentral:rRNA from 1 species
UACGUAGGGUGCGAGCGUUGUCCGGAAUUAUUGGGCGUAAAGAGCUUGUAGGCGGUUUGUCGCGUCUGCUGUGAAAACUCGGGGCUUAACCCCGAGCCUGCAGUGGAUACGGGCAGACUAGAGGUAGGUAGGGGAGAAUGGAAUUCCCGGUGUAGCGGUGAAAUGCGCAGAUAUCGGGAGGAACACCGGUGGCGAAGGCGGUUCUCUGGGCCUUACCUGACGCUGAGGAGCGAAAGCGUGGGGAGCGAACAGG